rnacentral:rRNA from 1 species
GUGAGGAAUAUUGGACAAUGGGCGCAAGCCUGAUCCAGCCAUGCCGCGUGCAGGAAGACGCAUCUAUGGUGUGUAAACUGCUUUUGUACGGGAAGAAACACUCCCUCGUGAGGGAGCUUGACGGUACCGUAAGAAUAAGGAUCGGCUAACUCCGUGCCAGCAGCCGCGGUAAUACGGAGGAUCCAAGCGUUAUCCGGAAUCAUUGGGUUUAAAGGGUCCGUAGGCGGUUUAAUAAGUCAGUGGUGAAAGCGCAUCGCUCAACGAUGGAACGGCCAUUGAUACUGUUAGACUUGAAUUACAAGGAAGUAACUAGAAUAUGUAGUGUAGCGGUGAAAUGCUUAGAUAUUACAUGGAAUACCAAUUGCGAAGGCAGGUUACUACUUGUGGAUUGACGCUGAUGGACGAAAGCGUGGGGAGCGAACAGGAUUAGAUACCCCGGUAGUCC